CACGUAGGGCGCAAGCGUUGUCCGGAAUUAUUGGGCGUAAAGAGCUCGUAGGUGGUUUGUUACGUCUGCUGUGAAAACCUAGGGCUUAACCCUGGGCUUGCAGUGGAUACGGGCAGACUAGAGGUAGGUAGGGGAGAAUGGAAUUCCUGGUGUAGCUGUGAAAUGCGCAGAUAUCAGGAGGAACACCGGUGGCGAAGGCGGGUCUCUGGGCAACAACUGACGCUGAGGAGCGAAAGCGUGGGGAGCGAACAGG
rnacentral:rRNA from 1 species